rnacentral:rRNA from 1 species
GUGCCAGCACUCGCGGUAAUACGGACGGUGCGAGCGUUAAUCGGAAUUACUGGGCGUAAAGCGCCCGCAGGCGGUCUGUCAAGUCGGAUGUGAAAUCCCCCGGGCUCAACCUGGGAACUGCAUUCGAAACUGGCAGGCUUGAGUCUUGUAGAGGGGGGUAGAAUUCCAGGUGUAGCGGUGAAAUGCGUAGAGAUCUGGAGGAAUACCGGUGGCGAAGGCGGCCCCCUGGACAAAGACUGACGCUCAGGUGCGAAAGCGUGGGGAGCAAACAGGAUUAGAUACCCUGGUAGUCC